AGAAUCAACGCUGGCGGCGUGCCUAACACAUGCAAGUCGCACGAGAAAGUGGAGCAAUCCAUGAGUAAAGUGGCGCACGGGUGAGUAACACGUGAAUUAUCUACCUCCGAGUGGGGAAUAACUGAGAGAAAUCUUAGCUAAUACCGCAUAACACUUACGAGUCAAAGCAGCAAUGCGCUUGGAGAGGAGUUCGCGGCCGAUUAGUUAGUUGGCGGGGUAAUGGCCCACCAAGACGAUGAUCGGUAUCCGGCCUGAGAGGGCGCACGGACACACUGGAACUGAAACACGGUCCAGACUCCUACGGGAGGCAGCAGUGGGGAAUUUUGCGCAAUGGGGGAAACCCUGACGCAGCAACGCCGCGUGGAGGAUGAAAUCCCUUGGGAUGUAAACUCCUUUCGAUAGGGAAGAUAAUGACGGUACCUAUAGAAGAAGCCCGGCUAACUUCGUGCCAGCAGCCGC
rnacentral:rRNA from 1 species